rnacentral:tRNA from 1 species
AAGGUACUAGUAAAACAGAUAUUACACUGCUUUGUCAAGGCAGAAUUGUGGGCUAAAAUCCCGCGUAUCUUG